CUUGACUUCAUGUGAAGGGCGUCCAGUUUUGGUUUUGGGUGGACUGUGGGACAGGAUGAAGGUGUCCAGAUAGAGCGACGUCACAGGAAAGAUGAGCCCUGAUUUGGUGGCUGAGUGGGUGGACGAGGACACACACCCCGACCGGCUGGAUGUUUGACUGACGGCGCCUCGCUAUGACUCACUGAUUCGGCUUUUCGUCCCACGCCGAGCUAUCUGCGGAGGCUAAACGCCCGUUGCUCUUCCCUCUGACUUCCUGACGACUCCUUCCUGUCAUCCUGACGUCUUCCUGUCAGCUGGUGGCGUUGUGGCGGUGAGGUGAUGCAGGUAAAGUGCUACCAGAUAGAUGCCGUGCCAGGCUGGAGCUGUUAGCGCUAAGUGCUGCCGCCACCGGGCCUUUUCUGGUUCCUGUGAGCACAACAAUGAGCGCUCACUGUGGUCCGCCGCCUCCCAGCAGCCUCCCAGCAGCCUCCCAGCAGCCUCCCAGCAGCCUCCCAGCAGCCUCCCACCAGCCUCCCACCAGCCUCCCACCAGCCUCCCACCAGCCUCCCACCACUCCCCCCUCUCAUCCCUCCCUCUGCUGGCUCUGACUCAGCUGUUUUGUAGGAAACUCCGUCUCUUUGAAGAAGGGAAGAAUCUUUCAUUACUCGAUGAUAGGGGCAGAAGAACCGGCCCAUUGUCUCCCCGGUCCCUCGAUGGUAAUUGUGCCGAGCUAAUUACAGGAGAGCCGCUAGCGCAGGUGUGGAGCGCCGCACCUGGAGGACAAGUCGGCUCACGGCUCGCAGGAGGCCGGGGUGAAAGUGUGGCUCAGAUCACGGAAGCUGACAUGUGCUUAGCGUGUCGGUCAGCGUGUUGUUUCUGUCAGACGAGCGGCAGCCCCAGGCCCAUCUGGCUCUGGUUACGACGGUCUACAUCUGCGCCGCAUUACAAACACUCACACACUCUCACUCACUCACUCACUCACUCACUCACUCACACACACUCACACACACACUCACUCACUCACUCACACACACACACACACACACACAACAGCCGAUCCAAGCAGACCCACUACAAUCAGCUAAUUGAUAAACAGAACCGCAGGGAGAAACGCUGCUGAUUCACCUUCUGCAGCUUCAUGUUUUCUGAUGGCAGAGAUGAUGUCAGUGGGGGGCUCUCACGGGAACUGCUUCUGUUUUUUUGGGCUUUUUACCGUAAAGGAACUCAUCUGAGACGCUGACCGGAAGAAGAGGAAGCCGCCUGGCCGGACGCCAGCGAGGAUCAGGACAGCCGGAGACGUCAGAGCUUCAGACGGAAAACAAAAGUUCGUACGAUGACAGAAACGAGUCACUGGAAACCCUGAAAGCACCUGGGAAUGAUCAAUCUGUACGACUAAAUCUACUGAAAACACUGAGCUCAAAGAUUCAACUUUUAAUCUACAAUCAGGUGUUUUCCUUCAUUACACUUUAUUUUAGAACAGGGGUGUCCAACAUGAGGCCCACGGGCCAAAAGCAGUCCUCCAGAGGGUCCAAUCCGGCCCUCAAAGUGUAAAAAUUCCAGAGAAGACAUUAACUGCAGAUUGUAAAUUAGUAAAACUAUAAAUUUAAAAUCAUUUCUAGAACAUGACAAGUUGUUUUGAUCAUAAAGUAAAAUACUAGAUUGUUCAUUUGUCGUUCUAUGUCUUAUUUUUGUAAUAUUUUGUAUUGUUUUUGUUGUUUCUUUGUCUUUUUUUGUUUGACUUUUAUCGUUUGUCUCACGCUUUUGUCAUUGUGUUCUCAUUUUUGUCUCGCUUGUGUUUUUUGUCUCAUUUUCGUCAUUGUGUGUUUUGCUUUAUUCAUUGUUUUCUGUUUUAUUUUGGUCAUUUUUUUGUGUCAUUUUUCCAUUUUUUGUCACUUUGUAACUUUUUUGUCUAUUUUUUCUCAUUUUGUUUCUCGCUUUUGUUGUUUUGUCUCAUUUUUGUAGUAUUUUGUCUUGUUUUUGUUGUUUUUUGUCUUUUCUUGAAGUAAAGUCCUAUAUCAUCAGUUCCAGAUAGGUGACUAAAUGUUGUGUUCCUUUGUCGACACUCAGUGAUGUGGAAGUUGUAAUGUGGAAAUGAUAAACUGA
ensembl:lncRNA